ACUGAAGCUCUGGGAGGGGAAGUGUCACAUCCUGGACUCCCUUUACCUUUCACAGACCCUGUGAGCAGCAGAUCGGAAAGUAGAAAGCAGGUCCCUGCACUCCGAAAUGACUUCUCAAUACCACCCACUUCCUCCUCCCACUCCAAACCCCAAACCCUUCCUCUUUCUGCCUUGAGAGGAGCCUCACCCUGUCUCCUCGAAGCCCAGGGAAGCCUGCCUGGCCUUAACCCCAGGAUUUCGAAGGAAACUCCCUCCACCUAAGGACCAGGGCCAGGACCACCCCCCCCUGGACAACAGUAGCACCCCUCCCUUCCCCAGUCUCUUCCCCAAGAGACAGCCAGAGUCAAGAUGUCAAAUGAGAAGUUCUUCAACCUCUACUGAAGCAGUGGAUCACGGCAGUGAGGAGAAGCUGCUCCCAAUGUCAGAGAAAGGCCCUCCUUUUCUCUCCUCGGAGGACAUCAGGCAUCUCCGUCCCUUGGCUUCUUCCUCUCAUCAGAACUCAAGCUUCUUGAGGGCAAGAGCCUCCAGUCCCUGAUGCACCUGGCAGGAGCACUCUACAAAUACUUAUGUGAUGACCAAACAAACAGACCCGAGUUGGCCCAGCCCCACCCAUCACUCUGCAGAAUGAGGGCCAUCACCCCUAUACUUCAACUCUGUCUCAAGAAUUCAAGGUCAGGGCCCUGGCUGGUGUAGCUCAGUAGAUUGAGCUCGGGCCUGCGAACCAGACAAUCACGGUUCGAUUCCCAGUCAGGGCACAUGCCUGGGUUGCAGGCCGGUUCCCCGCAGGCCAGUUCCCAGCAGGGGACGCACAAAGGCAACCAUACGUUGAUAUUUCUCUCCCUCUCUCCUUCCCUUCCCCUCUAAAGAUAAGCAAAUAAAAUCUUUAAAAAAAAAAGGUCAGGCAGGCAGGUAGUACACCGGGACAGUGCCCAAUAGAUGGCCCUGAGAGGGACAUGGAAACUCUGGGAAAAUGUGGCCAAGCCCAGGACCCGACCCCACCUCCCUGUGCCCACUUCCUCACACUCUACGGCCCUCAGGAGUUUAGUCUGGUUCUACUGUAAUGAGGUGCUGAGUGAGGAGUCCCCAGAAACAACAGAGCACAUUCGCCACAAUCCUUGGUGGGGGGAAGAGUGGGGGACACUGCCUUUAAAAUACUUUACAUAACAAUGGCAAGGUAACAGCUGCGCUGCCACCCAGGGUAAAAGGUGUAUACCCCCGGAAAAGGUAUAUGUGUCUUUAAGGGCCUACAGUGACUUGUGGCACAGCCAAAUGUGGAUGCCCACCCUGAUGUCCCUGUGUCACAGGAAAUUAUUGCCCUGACUAAAGAUGGCAGCCAAAACAAGGAAAAGGAUACAGAAGAACUGGCAAAAAUAAAACAUCAUAGGAGGGGCCAGAUAUGAGAUCACACAGGGAGUUCCGGGCUGAGCACUUAAAAGUGGGCUGAGAGAGUAAGAAAUGGACACCAUGGGGAGGAAAGGGGGUAGAGGAGGGCCCUGUCCACCAUGAGGUCUGAGGGUGUAGAGAGAAGAAGCCAUGUAGGCUGAGAGCAAGGAAGCAGCCAUGCAGGAGGAAAGAAAGUAAGGAGAGAGCUGAUGGAGCCGUACAGGGACGUGCCUGACCAAGCAUGGAUUUGUGGGAGACGUUUGGAGCUGAACUGAACUGUGAACGGUGACUGGGAAUGCAGACCCCUGCUUCUCCAAAGGGCCUACAGAGAAGCCACUCUCUUGGGGCGUGCGCCUCCCUGGACUCCACCGUGUUCCAGUGUGACCGGCACAUGACUGCCUGGACUACUACAUGGAGGCGAGGACAGCGCGCCCCAGGUCCUGGAGGAGAGCGCUGUGGCGAGGGGAUGUCAACUCUGGGACCCACAAGUGCACAGUCCUGAAAGAACGGUGAUCUGUUUACCUAGCUGCAGCCGGCUUAAGGAGAGAUAAGGAUAUGGGGAACCUCUGGGCGUGGUUCCUUUUGGAGAACAAGGUUAAG